AAGGCAUCCUUGACCUUUGGUGGCUCGGGUUCUACUUUCACCUUCUUGCCAACUGCUUUGGCAGCAGAAGCAGAUCGUCUCUUUGGUGCCAUGACCAAGGCAGGAAAACCCUGCACAGAAACUUUCCAUGUUGGUCAUUUGGACGUGAUGCCUGGGCAAGCUCAGACAUGCCAACACUAGCCACCGGCUAACCUUCUCUGACUGUCCAGCAAAACAAAUUACUUUCCCAUAUACGUAAGCUACGUCAGCUAACCUGCUGUAUUCUGCCAUAACUAAUAGCAACUGACCAACCAUUUGCAGUUUGGAUGUGUGUUGGAGGGCCUCCGCCCUCCACAGUUUAUUCCAAAGACAACCUGAACUCACCUUUAACCUUAAAUGGUCUCGGUCAGGCUGGGAAAGAGGACAGGAGACGGUCAGACACAGGGUCUCCUCGCUGCUGAAGCUGUCCCCGGGCUGGCUGGAGGGUGUAGUCUGACUUACAGACGGCAAGUUUACAUCCACGUUACAGUGAGGGGAAGAGGCGGAGCUCAGCUACUCUGUUGUCCUCUUCUUCCAAGCCUCGUUGUCAAGAGUUUCGGCGACGGAACUGGAGAGCUAACGGCUACACCGCCACCUAGCUUGCUCCGAUGCAGUGUUUUCCUUUACAAAUGUUAAGCAUCAGAGAAGACAACUCAGAAGUGUGAUGUAGAAUACACUGUGGAUUUGUUGGAUGAGGAUGACUCUCAGCAACUGAGUUUACCAGAGCUGCUGCAAUCACCCAGUGAUGUUGUUGCAUAUCAGGUGGUACCUUGAGAGAAACUGGAGCCUGGGCCUGUGGUGACGCUGAAGCGUGUGGUGGCCACUCUGAGAGUGCUGACAUUCUUCUGUGGCUGGAACAGGAUGAUGUGAACCUUGGGAGAGAAGAGGCAGCCCAACACCACAGACCCACUCAGACUGACGGAGAUGCACAUGGUGGUGGUCUGCACCUGGAAGAGGAAAGACAGCAGCCAGACCACCACCACUACCAGCUGGCAGGAGAUCAGAGCACCACAGAUGGCAACCUGGGAGGCCGGGCUGAUAAAUCGAGGCCGCUGCGCUCCGUCCUUCACCCCGCUGAAGAUCCGAGCGAUGCGAUUGGUCUUGGUUAGGAGGGCUGAAUAGCACACAGCAAAGGAGGUGCCUAGGCCGAGCCGGCGCAGUGUACAAACUGCCGUGGAUGGUUUGGCAAUGUAGAUGAAGGAAGAGACCAAUGACGAAAAGCGUACACAUCAUCCCUAGACAGGAAAUGGUGACGGGUCCAAUGGCCCAGGCAUCUUCCCAGCGGAUGUAUUCCUCAGGCAGGUCAUAACAGCCAGACAGGUUGGCCAGGGGCCACUGUCCAAAGCUGCAGUCAGCACAGGUGAACUCAUCCUGCAAAUACUGGUAGGACUGACAGGGGAUACAGAUCCAGCAGCACACAUCUCCAGGCUGCAUACUUUUCACCUCGUUCUUCUUGCAGGGGUCACUACACUGAGAGGUUGGCGCAACCAGGCCAGCCCAGGGGAUAAGGCUGGUGUUCAGGGUCAGGCUCUGAGCCCAAUAGCCGACCUUACGGUAGACAUAGUGUCCGCCUUCUUUGUGGUAGUGGAAAAUGUUGUAACGGCCAAGGCUGUCCCCGAAGGCAUCAAAGCGGACUACAUUCUCUGUGUCUGGUGGACGAAAUGGCGCUGAAGGUGAAAAGAAAACAAGAAGGUGUUAGAAAAGGGUAUAAGGGGGCCAUCGUAUGGCAAAUGCAGCAACAAAAUUGUCAAAGUGAAAGCAAAGCAUAAAUAUCAACAUUUGUUUAUUAAACAUGUCACAGUUGGACAGUUUUGGAGCAACAAGACCUGAACUUACAUCUUCUCUAGAACAACGUCAUAUUAAAUUAAUCUCUUUGCUUA